rnacentral:rRNA from 1 species
GCGAAAGUCCCGCAAGGGAUGAGUAGAGUGGCAAACGGGUGAGUAACGCGUGGGUGACCUGCCUUCGAGCGGGGGAUAACGUCCCGAAAGGGACGCUAAUACCGCAUAACAUCCUGCUUUUCAACAGGUUGAGAUCAAAGCUGGGGAUCGCAAGACCUAGCACUCGAAGAGGGGCCCGCGUCUGAUUAGCUAGUUGGUGAGGUAACGGCCCACCAAGGCGACGAUCAGUAUCCGGCCUGAGAGGGCGGACGGACACACUGGGACUGAGACACGGCCCAGACUCCUACGGGAGGCAGCAGUGGGGAAUUGUUCGCAAUGGGCGCAAGCCUGACGACGCAACGCCGCGUGGAGGACGAAGACCUUCGGGUCGUAAACUCCUUUCGAUCGAGACGAACGGCCUCCGGGUGAACAAUCCGGAGGAGUGACGGUACCGAGAGAAGAAGCCCCGGCUAACUCCGUGCCAGCAGCCGCGGUAAUACGGGGGGGGCAAGCGUUGUUCGGAAUUACUGGGCGUAAAGGGCUCGUAGGCGGCCAACUAAGUCAGACGUGAAAUCCCUCGGCUUAACCGGGGAACUGCGUCUGAUACUGGAUGGCUUGAGAUUGGGAGAGGGAUGCGGAAUUCCAGGUGUAGCGGUGAAAUGCGUAGAUAUCUGGAGGAACACCGGUGGCGAAGGCGGCAUCCUGGACCAACACUGACGCUGAGGAGCGAAAGCCAGGGGAGCAAACGGGAUUAGAUACCCCGGUAGUCCUGGCCCU